GUUUAAGUACUCUAAGGAGUAGGACGCGGCAUUCUCGUUCGAUUGUUUCAGUCUCAAAACGAUUUCGUGGUAGGCCUACUGGU